rnacentral:rRNA from 1 species
CAGCAGCCGCGGUAAUACAGAGGAUGCAAGCGUUAUCCGGAAUGAUUGGGCGUAAAGCGUCUGUAGGUGGCUUUUCAAGUCCGCCGUCAAAUCCCAGGGCUCAACCCUGGACAGGCGGUGGAAACUACCAAGCUGGAGUAUGGUAGGGGCAGAGGGAAUUUCCGGUGGAGCGGUGAAAUGCGUUGAGAUCGGAAAGAACACCAACAGCGAAAUCACUCUGCUAGGCCGACACUGACACUGAGAGACGAAAUCUAGGGGAGCAAAUGGGAUUAGAUACCCGCGUAGUCCCUGUCUCUUAUAC